CACAUACGCUCUGUGACAAUUCUCCUUUCUUUCUUUCUUUCUUUCUUUCUUUCUGCUCUUCAUUCUUCCUCAAUUGCUUUGUCUCACUCUUUUUCACUGAGCAGGUUGGGGCAAGUGUAUCAGCAGUCAGACAGAUUGGUUACUACCCCGGGGUUUUGGGAAUUUGCUGGCUCUCUCGAGGGACAGAAAAAAAGAGGACGUGAUAAGAGGAGUGAGAGGUGUAGAUGGACUGCCAUCAUGUGGAUCUGCUGCCCACUGCUUCUGCAGAGAGAGGAAAAACUGACCCACAGAGGGCUUACCUUUCUACACUGCAUGGUGGGUGGUGCAGUGAUGCUACCAUAUUAUAAUAUUAAUAGUUGAGCUUAAAAUAUUAAU
ensembl:lncRNA